CGUCUAUAUACGUAUAGCAUAUCAAUAAGCGGAGGAAAAGAAACUAACUAGGAUUCCCUCAGUAACGGCGAGUGAAGCGGGAAGAGCUCAAAUUUGAAAUCUUCAAGGUUCUACCUUGACGAAUUGUAGUUUAAAGAAGUGUUUUCUGUUGGAGUUUUGGUAAAAGUUCUUUGGAAUAGGACAUCAUAGAGGGUGAGAAUCCCGUAUUUGACCAUUAUUUCCAACUUUGUGAUACACUUUCAAAGAGUCGGAUUGUUUGGGAAUGCAGUCCAAAAUGGGUGGUAAAUUUCAUCUAAAGCUAAAUACUGGCGAGAGACCGAUAGCGAACAAGUACCGUGAGGGAAAGAUGAAAAGAACUUUGAAAAGAGAGUUAAACAGUACGUGAAAUUGUCAAAAGGGAAGCGUUUGACACCAGUGUUGUUUUUCUCGAAAAUCAAUUACAAGAUGGUGGGAUUUUGUGUUGUAUUGACUUUAUCAGCUUUCUGCACUCUUUUCCUGUCUUUUUUAAUGCACUUUUCGUUUAACAAGUCAACAUCAAUUUCUUUUGUUGUAAAAGAGUCAUUGGAAGGUGGCUUUCUUUUCGGAGAAAGUGUUUAUAGCCUUUGACUUCUGCAAUCGGAGAGAUUGAGGUCUGCAGCGUAGAUCCUUCGGGGUUAGAUGCAUUUGUGCUAAGCUAUAGCCUUUCAUAGACAACUUGUUGACUAUGAUCAGUCAUGUAGCUUACUCGCUUAUGUCUAUUUUACCUACGCUUAGGAUGUUGACGAUCAGCUGAGCGCG
rnacentral:rRNA from 1 species